rnacentral:rRNA from 1 species
UGCAGUUCGAGCGGUAACAGAUCUAGCUUGCUAGAUGCUGACGAGCGGCGGACGGGUGAGUAAUGCAUAGGAAUCUGCCCGGUAGUGGGGGAUAACCUGGGGAAACCCAGGCUAAUACCGCAUACGUCCUACGGGAGAAAGGGGGCUUCGGCUCCCGCUAUUGGAUGAGCCUAUGUCGGAUUAGCUAGUUGGUGAGGUAAUGGCUCACCAAGGCGACGAUCCGUAGCUGGUCUGAGAGGAUGAUCAGCCACAUCGGGACUGAGACACGGCCCGAACUCCUACGGGAGGCAGCAGUGGGGAAUAUUGGACAAUGGGGGGAACCCUGAUCCAGCCAUGCCGCGUGUGUGAAGAAGGCCCUCGGGUUGUAAAGCACUUUCAGCGAGGAAGAACGCCUGGUGGUUAAUACCCAUCAGGAAAGACAUCACUCGCAGAAGAAGCACCGGCUAACUCCGUGCCAGCAGCCGCGGUAAUACGGAGGGUGCAAGCGUUAAUCGGAAUUACUGGGCGUAAAGCGCGCGUAGGUGGCUUGAUAAGCCGGUUGUGAAAGCCCCGGGCUCAACCUGGGAACGGCAUCCGGAACUGUCAAGCUAGAGUACAGGAGAGGAAGGUAGAAUUCCCGGUGUAGCGGUGAAAUGCGUAGAGAUCGGGAGGAAUACCAGUGGCGAAGGCGGCCUUCUGGACUGAUACUGACACUGAGGUGCGAAAGCGUGGGUAGCAAACAGGAUUAGAUACCCUGGUAGUCCACGCCGUAAACGAUGUCGACCAGCCGUUGGGGUGCCUAGCGCACUUUGUGGCGAAGUUAACGCGAUAAGUUCGACCGCCUGGGGAGUACGGCUCGCCAGGUUAAAACUCAAAUGAAUUUGACGGGGGC